ensembl:lncRNA PTCSC1 papillary thyroid carcinoma susceptibility candidate 1
UUUGUCACUUCCAGUGCCCUGCCCAGCCCUACAGAAAAUACGUGAUUAUUUAAGGGUGAAGAAGCCAAAGCUGGGAGAGUUUUAGUCACCUAUCUAGGGGAAAGUGUGAAGAUUUCAAAGCCCAGGGUCCUUCACGGAGCCACACGGCUCUCCUUGGCACUUAAUCUUCAAGCUCUCCUCAGCCCACACUUGACCCUUAACAGGGGAGACAAAGGCAGACUCCAGGUAAGUUGUCAGGGUUAGCAUAAGCAGCUCAGGGCAACUGGUGGGUAGGGAGCUGUACAGCCCAGGGAUUGCAGCCUCUUGUUUUGCAUUUCCUGGAGUCAUGGCUAAACUCAUGGUCUCCUCAGGGGUCAAAGCAGGCCUGACUUUCAGUGUCAUCUUCAGGACACACACACGCACGCGCGCACACACACACACACACACACACACACACACACACACACACAGGAUUAUACAUGCAACUAACCAAUCACACAGAGCUGGACCAUCUAGCCUGGUAGAAGGUCUGCCGAGUUCUGCGGGUCACCAUGAACCAGGCUUGUGAGCCCUCUUAGUCAUAUGUAAAGGGCUGUGUUUGAGACCCGGUAGCCCACAAAGCUCUUUUCUGCCCAAGCCUUGGUUUUUCCGUAUGUUAGUGGGGACAGAUUGGAACUAAACAGACCUUGAGUCUUUUCAGGGUCAGUCUCAACUCUCUUAGAUGCUAGAGGGAUAUAGGCAGGGCUAGCACAGAACAGAAGCAAGAAAUAGUCAAAAUGAAUAUUUUGGACUGCAUAGACUCAGAAUGUGCUUUACUUGGGCACCCAGGGCUUCUCAGACUUCAGUUGUUUUCAUUCCACCAUUCCCUUCCUCCCCCUCCUCAUCACCAGCAGCAGCAGCAGCAGCAGCAGCAGCAGCAGCAGCAGCAGCAGCAGGGCGCACAGCUCUGGGGGGAAUCAGGCACUGGGCUGUGGUGGUACCGAGGUUACCCCUGAAGUCCUCACGCCUCCCUGUGAGGUUGAUAGAUUGAAACUACCUUAUUUUGAGUAUGAGGAAAUAGAGGCACAGUGAGGUCCAGAGACCGCCCAAGAGCACACACCUAGGAAGCUGAGUGCCAGGUUUCAAAACCAGGUCUCCCUGGGCAGGGCAGGGCAUGGCUGUGUUUGAACCACUCAGGUCUCCUUUGACAUAGUUGACAGCACUAGUUACUUGAUAAUGUCUUUUUAAAAAUUAAUUUACUUAAAAAAACUUGAGUGCUAUUCUAAGCAAUGUGACAUCGUGGAUUUCUUGGGCUAGUUAUAUAUUUUAUGAUGUUCAUCAAUGUACAAUUAUGUAAAAGUUGAAUGAUCAAGUUCUGCCUAAGACCAUCUCAUGUACCAGCAGCGAGGUUAGAUUCAAAUAGAAAAAAGGGAUCUGGUCCAAGAUUUGACACGGAUUCACUGUCUGUGGGACCCCUUGCUAGGGCACUUGAUCAUCUGGGUCAUUAAAUCUGGGGGCCAGGCACAUUCUCAUUCAUUCGAGACGAGCCCAUCCUCUUCCAGAGCAUGGGGGCUUCUUGAAACCCUGUCCUUUCCAGGCACACACUGAGGUGGGGAGAGGGACCCUGGAGUCAGACCACCUGGCUUUGAAUCCCAGCUGUCUCCUCUGAGCUGUAUGGCCUAAGGCAAGUCAUUUAAGCUUCUUGUACCUCAGAUUCUCCAACUGCAAAACGGAGAUGAUAAUAGGCAGAAGCCUCGUGGGGCUGUGAGAAUCGAGUCUGCAUAUGUAAAGCACUGGGCACUGUGUCUGGAGGCUGUGAGCACCAAGCGGCUCUAAUCAUUCCCGUUUUACAAAGGAGGACAGAGAGACUAAGGAGAUAAACUCUUUCUCAUCUCUCGUUGUGUGUCAGUGCAGGGGCAGGACUAAAAGCUGGUCUGUGGUCUGCAAGCUUUAGGGGUUACAGAGUCCCCAGGAACUCCUAGGAAAUUCAGCUGGCGGCUACCUUCCACCAUCCCCAGGUUCUGAUUCGUGGGCCUGGGGUGGGACCCAGGAAUCUGCAUUUCAGUUACUUCCCAGGGGAUUCUGAUGCAGGUGGUGCGAAGACCACUUACUGAGAAGCUGCAAGCUGGGUUUGAGAGGUCCCUACCUCCUUCUUCCUUCCCCGAGCCCCACCCGCCCCCUUCUUUCCACUGGGCAACUAUGUAAACAGCAUUAUUUCUACCCUUGCACGGACAGAAAGGGGUCUGUGCUGCUGCCUCUGUUGGUGCCUCUUCAGGUCAGGGUGAUAAGAAGAGAAGGAACAAAGAGGGGAAAAAGAUCACAGCAGAGAGACAGAGUGCUCAUUUUAAGGUGGAAAUAUGCCAUUUCCUGACCACAGCGGGACUUCCCUAGGUUGUAUUAAAAAAUCCUGUACUGCCCAUGUCUGGUACAGAAGUAUGUAUAGAAUUGUAGAGAAAAUGAACACUUUGGGAUGAUUUGAAAGCAAAUUACAGAACUACCAGUUUCACCACUUUAAAACUUUUGGGGAAUGGCCAUUUAGAUAUAACCUGGUGCAGUCAGGUAACCCCAAACAGAGUUUUUAAAAGUUUCCACACCCUUCUUUGCUGGUGCCUGCCCUGCAUCAUGCUGUCGCUGUGAGGAGGGACUUGUUCCAGAUCUCUGGGGCAGCCCGAGUGACUCACCUAAAGUCACACAGCUUCCACGGAACAUUACUGGAAGCUCAGUGAGGGCCUUCUGCCUCUGAAACUUGCUCUAUUUCCCUCAAGUCCUGCUUCCUUUUGUAGGUUUAAGACAUUAGUUCCUGAGAAAUUGACUAAUCAAGAAUAUUCUGGAAAUCUUAGUUUAGCAAAAC